rnacentral:rRNA from 1 species
CUCAGAACGAACGCUGGCGGCGUGGAUAAGACAUGCAAGUCGAACGAGAGAAUUGCUAGCUUGCUAAUAAUUCUCUAGUGGCGCACGGGUGAGUAACACGUGAGUAACCUGCCCCCGAGAGUGGGAUAGCCCUGGGAAACUGGGAUUAAUACCGCAUAGAAUCGCAAGAUAAAAGCAGCAAUGCGCUUGGGGAUGGGCUCGCGGCCUAUUAGUUAGUUGGUGAGGUAACGGCUCACCAAGGCGAUGACGGGUAGCCGGUCUGAGAGGAUGUCCGGCCACACUGGAACUGAGACACGGUCCAGACACCUACGGGUGGCAGCAGUCGAGAAUCAUUCACAAUGGGGGAAACCCUGAUGGUGCGACGCCGCGUGGGGGAAUGAAGGUCUUCGGAUUGUAAACCCCUGUCAUGUGGGAGCAAGUUAAAAAGAUAGUACCACAAGAGGAAGAGACGGCUAACUCUGUGCCAGCAGCCGCGGUAAUACAGAGGUCUCAAGCGUUGUUCGGAAUCACUGGGCGUAAAGCGUGCGUAGGCUGUUUCGUAAGUCGUGUGUGAAAGGCGCGGGCUCAACCCGCGGACGGCACAUGAUACUGCGAGACUAGAGUAAUGGAGGGGGAACCGGAAUUCUCGGUGUAGCAGUGAAAUGCGUAGAUAUCGAGAGGAACACUCGUGGCGAAGGCGGGUUCCUGGACAUUAACUGA